UGAGUCUGGAAAUGAGCAGUGACUUGGG
rnacentral:piRNA from 1 species